CACUAACUGUCCAUCAAAAAUGACAGUGACAAUUCACACUGUGCAUGAUAGAUACAGAGGUAAGUCUGUAGAGAAAGCAAUGCUCUACAAGGAAAUGCCGUGUGAGGUUAACUUGGUGUUGGGUCAUAACCACAGUGUUGAGAGUGCUGCUGCUUUAAGAUUUAGGCAACCAUCAAGUGAUGUCAAAGAAAAAUUAAUAUCCCUGUUUGAAAGAGGUCAUUCACCAGCCACUGCUCUUGAGUCAAUAAAGGUUGAAAUUCAGCUGAAUUGUCCAGAUUACCCUUUAGUCCUCGCAGACAGAAGCAGGUGUCCUGAUUACAACUUUUGCCACUAUUUGUUCAACAAAGUUUUUAAGAAAAAGUAUGGGCCAACAGACUUCAACAAAGAAGGAAAGCAGCUGUUACAGCAGAGGUUAGAGGAAUACAACAGCGAAGUUGGAGCUGUGUGUGCCAAGAUGAUUCAGAAAGAUGAUGAUUAUAUAGUAUGGUAAGAGUAUAUUUACAAAUUUGUAGUCUGAUGAAAACUUUAUGCAUAUACAUUUAGCUACUAUUAAUAUUUGUAUAAUUGUUUUUCAGCAUUUGCUCACCACUGAUGCAACAAGUCCAUACUCACGUAAAAGCUGCUUCCAAACUUGUAUUUAUGGAUUCCACUGGUUCUCUGGAUCAUGAUAGCAGCAGAGUGUUUGUUUUACUUACAGUGAGUGUGGAGGUUUACCACUAGGAGUUCUGAUUAUGUCUUCAGAAAGCUGCGGAGUUAUAGAAAUGGGACUAGAGUUGCUGAAAGAGAUAGUGGGGGAAAAUAUUUUUGGGGGAAACAUCAAUGGCCCAAGUGUGUUUCUGACUGACGACAGCCAGUCAGAACAAAAUGCAAUUAGAAGGUGCUUCCCAAACACAAAAACUUUGUUGUGUAUAUUCCAUGUCCUGCAGGCAGUGUGGCGCUGGCUUCUAAAAACAAAAAAUGCUAUACCACAGCAAAAACAGUGCGAGUUCUUCCAGAAUUUCAAAAAAAUAAUGUUUGCACAAACAAAAAAUGAAGCAGUGGUAAACUAUAAUGUAACAAGAGCGAACAUCGGUGAAAAUCAUCAAAAUUUAUUGAAAUUCUUGAACGGGUAUUGGGAUAGGAGAGAACUGUGGACCCUUUCACAUCGGCGAGGUAUGCUUAUAGAAGGGCACAACACAAAUAAUAUAAGUGAGGCCUUCAUGAGAAUUUUAAAGGACAGGAUUUUUGAGAGGGUGCGUGCCUUCAAUGUGGUUCAGAUGGUGGACUUUUUUCUCACAAAGGUGAAUUUGUAUUUUCAGAGGAGACUUCUUGAUGCUGCUAAUGGAGCAAGUCCUAAGUCUUUCUGUAGGCCUAUAAAGGCCCCUUCACAGGAGAUUCUAGGAAAAAUCAGACAAGUCAAUGAGGAUGUUCUGCUCAUUCCCAGUGAAGAAAGGCAGAAUCAUUAUUACAUUGUUAAUAUGGCUGUUCUUGUUUGCACUUGUUGCCAAGGCAAUACAGGGAGGAUCUGCAAACAUAUAGACUGGGGCAGUACUGUUUUACCAUCAGGAAACUACAAGGAGGUGACUGAUAGUGACAGUAUACGUAGACUGUAUUAUUUUAUUGCUACAAAUGAGGAGCCUCCUGAAGGGUGGCUAGAGCCUCUGUAUUGCUCUCAGAAUGCAGGGGCUUCAAGUUCUUCGGAACGUUUGGAGCAAAUGGACACAGGUUUGCUCUGUGAAAGCCAAGAAGAGAUGCCAGAGACACUUCGCAUGGAGACAGUUCCAGACAAAAGAAAUAAUGAUUUAAUCGACGAGAUAAAAGCUCGUCUCAUAGAUUUUUCAAAUAAAUCCCCUGAGGAAAUGAGGAAAGGCCUUGAAGUCAUGUGCGAAAUAUUGAGAAAGCUUAAAACGCCAUCUGCAUGUGCAUCUUAUUUGGCAAAUUUUGGUGAAGGAAAAUCUAGAAAAAAUCGUGGUAACUAUAUUCCCGUUCAGCCCACUGCAAUAAGCAGAAGAAAAAACAAGUUGGCAGGUCGCAGAUGUCAUCCGGGGGGAAGACAAAGACCACACUCUAAGCAAAGCAAGGAAUUUGUAAAGACAGUAAAAAUUUCUGAAAUGGUUUGAGGGAGCACUGCUGGACAUACAGUGCUAUUGGCUAACUUGCAUAAAUUUAAUACUGUGUGCUAAUGGUGGUGUAAAGACUGAAACAAUCCACAAAAGAAAUAAGAAAUUGCAACUGAAAACUGCCUCCAGACUGACCUCACAUCCAGUAUUGAUAAAGGCUACCUUUCCAUCACCAGCUACGCAAUCAUCCCAGUCAGCUUCAGACUUUUGAAGAAGGUGCGCGACUAUUUACUGCAGCAUAGUGUGUAGGAUUUUCUUAAUCUGAGAUCCAACGUAAUGGAACUAUUAAGGGAUUGAUUGUAGUAAUUAAGUUUUUUCUUAAAGCUCAGGCCUAGCCUGACUGCUGAAAUAUAUUAAGUUUUUUUGUUGUAGCUCGGGUCUGACCCGAUUAUUCCCGGCAGGGUCAGGGAUUUUCUCUGCCUCGUGAUGACUGGGUGUUAUGCGAUGUCCUUAGGUCAGUUAGGUUUAAUUAGUUCUAAGUUCUAGGGGACUGAUGACCAUAGAUGUUAAGUCCAAUAGUGCUCAGAGCCAUUUUCUAAUCCGAUUAUUGAAAUAAGUUUUUUCUUAAAGCUCAGACCAAACUUACUAUUGAAAUAUAGAAGUUCUUCUUUAAAUUGGGAUAUCCCAACAAUGUGGAUACUUAUUGUGUAUGUUGCACAAGUUUCUGGGAAAUGUGAAUUAUCUUUUCUUAAAAUGUAAACUACAUUUUAUAUUCUGCAUAUGACUUUUUUUUAUUUACAUCUGUUCCUUCAGGUUACAUGUAGCUUAUUUAAUUUGUCAUAUUAUGUCUGCUUUCUGAAGUUGUUCUGUCAGCUGAUAAUGAAAAAUGUUUCCUGCA